GACGAACGCUGGCGGCGUGCUUAACACAUGCAAGUCGAACGGAAAGGCCCUGCUUUUGUGGGGUGCUCGAGUGGCGAACGGGUGAGUAACACGUGAGUAACCUGUCCUUGACUUUGGGAUAACUUCAGGAAACUGGGGCUAAUACCGGAUAGGAUCUCCUGCUGCAUGGUGGGGGUUGGAAAGUUUCGGCGGUUGGGGAUGGACUCGCGGCUUAUCAGCUUGUUGGUGGGGUAGUGGCUUACCAAGGCUUUGACGGGUAGCCGGCCUGAGAGGGUGACCGGCCACAUUAGGACUGAGAUACGGCCCAGACUCCUACGGGAGGCAGCGGUGGAGAAUAUUGCACAAUGGGCGGAAGCCAGAUGCAGCAACGCCGCGUGCGGGAUGACGGCCUUCGGGUUGUAAACCGCUUUCGCCUGUGACGAAGCGUGAGUGACGGUAAUGGGUAAAGAAGCACCGGCUAACUACGUG
rnacentral:rRNA from 1 species